GGAGAAAGGGAGGCUGUAAAGAUGGUAUGCUACAAAUCUGUGCAUGGAAUUGAGAGAAUGGAUUUGGAGGAGAGGACAGAGCAGUGAAGAACUACAGUUAGCCUACCUACUUCCCUUGUUGGAGUGUCAAUUGGUGCAUGCAUCCCAAGGACACCGAGUCACGUGCAGCAAAGAGACUGUGGCUUUCUGCUCCCAGAUUUUUUUGCUCACACUUUGAAGAAUUAUGGAAAAACAAUCAAAUACUAACAUAUGGAUUCUGGGCACUGUUCUGGGCUCAGCCUGACGUGACAGAUCCUGGGCAAGUUGUUCCUCUUGGCACUUUUUUCAGUGUAUUUAAGACU